GACGAACGCUGGCGGCGUGCUUAACACAUGCAAGUCGAACGGAAAGGCCCUGCUUUUGUGGGGUGCUCGAGUGGCGAACGGGUGAGUAACACGUGAGUAACCUGCCCUUGACUUUGGGAUAACUUCAGGAAACUGGGGCUAAUACCGGAUAGGAGCUCCUGCUGCAUGGUGGGGGUUGGAAAGUUUCGGCGGUUGGGGAUGGACUCGCGGCUUAUCAGCUUGUUGGUGGGGUAGUGGCUUACCAAGGCUUUGACGGGUAGCCGGCCUGAGAGGGUGACCGGCCACAUUGGGACUGAGAGACGGCCCAGACUCCUACGGGAGGCAGAAGUGGGGAAUAUUGCACAAUGAGGGGAAGCCUGAUGCAGCAACGCCGCGUGCGGGAUGACGGCCUUCGGGUUGUAAACCGCUUUCGCCUGUGACGAAGCGUGAGUGACGGUAAUGGGUAAAGAAGCACCGGCUAACUACGUG
rnacentral:rRNA from 1 species